GAAUGCAUUUAAGAAAUUAAAGAAGUCAUCCUAAACAGAAUAUAUUGAAAACAACAAACCAAGUGACACAGAAGUUGGGAAACAUGAGCACAACGAAAUCGCCUCCCUAUAUCACAUCACUGCUGGUUCUUAUUUGAGAAGAAAACCUCGAGCUUCUUACUGUCCAAUUCUUAUCAAAACAACAGGGAAACGCUGAAAAUCUCAGAAGAAUAUUUGGAUUAGUGAAACUCACAACCACUGUCAGAAGUCUAUCUCUUUGGCUUUCUGUUCUGAAGUAGCAGAGUCUAACUUCAACAAGAUUCAUGAGACCAAACUACAGUAAUUCCUAAGAAAAAGGUACAAGUGGGAGGAGACUAAUAUAUUAUCAGGUACCAACUUUGUACUAACUACGUAUACUAAGUACAUAAUAUGUAACUUAGUCUUUACAAAAGAAAAUUUCAUUUCCUCCAGAGGAAUCCUUACUUUACAAGAGCUUCUGAGUAAUAAUGAUAGUGAUAAAAUUUAUUAGAUCACUACUAACAUUUAACUUACGGGGUGCCAGGCAUUGUGCUGUUCACUUCAUAAGUAAUAGAAUGUUCACUGUAAAAUAAAAUAAAGGCUCAAACUGUGUGCCUAUGAUACUCCACCUACCUCGGGACCCAGGAAGAUUAAAAUAUGCUUGCUUUGGUUCCAAAUUCUGCUGUAAGUAUAGGGAUAAUUUCAAGUCAUUGGCCUUCUGGUAGUUCUUCAAGGCUUCAAUUCUCAGCUCAAUCACUUUGCCAUUGAAGUCAUUCUACAAGGCAACAUUUUCAAAACUACUCAUAUAAUACUGGCCUCUCUAAAGCACCUGUAACCUGAU